GAUUAACGCUAGCGGCAGGCAUAAUACAUGCAAGUUGAACGGCAGCACAGGUAGCAAUACUGGGUGGCGAGUGGCGCACGGGUGCGUAACACAUAUGCAACCUACCCUAUACAGGCGAAUAACCUUUAGAAAUGAGGGCUAAUACGCCGUAGUAUUACAGAUGGGCAUCUAUUUGUAAUUAAAGAUUUAUCGGUAUAGGAUGGGCAUGCGUCCCAUUAGUUAGUUGGUAAGGUAACGGCUUACCAAGACGAUGAUGGGUAGGGGAUCUGAGAGGACUUACCCCCACACUGGUACUGAGACACGGACCAGACUCCUACGGGAGGCAGCAGUAAGGAAUAUUGGGCAAUGGCCGCGAGGCUGACCCAGCCAUGCCGCGUGCAGGAAGACGGCCUUAUGGGUUGUAAACUGCUUUUAUACGGGAAUAAUAGAGUGUACGCGUACAUUUAUGCAAGUAUCGUAUGAAUAAGCAUCGGCUAACUCCGUG
rnacentral:rRNA from 1 species